UACGUAGGGUGCAAGCGUUGUCCGGAAUUAUUGGGCGUAAAGAGCUCGUAGGUGGCGGGUCACGUCGGGUGUGAAAGCCCGGGGCUCAACCUCGGGCCUGCAGUGGGUACGGGCAGACUAGAGUGCGGUAGGGGAGAUUGGAAUUCCUGGUGUAGCGGUGGAAUGCGCAGAUAUCAGGAGGAACACCGAUGGCGAAGGCAGGUCACUGGGCCGCAACUGACGCUGAGGAGCGAAAGCAUGGGGGAGCGAACAGGG
rnacentral:rRNA from 1 species